rnacentral:piRNA from 1 species
UAUUCUAUUUAGAAUAAAAACUGUUGCCAUC